GUACUUAUUUAUAAUAAUAAAUAAAUCUUUGGACCUGAGCGGGGCCAACCAGAGCAAAGCAGAGGUACUAAUCAAUUCCCAACAACCACAUGAAGGCUCACAACCAUCUAUCUAUACAGUUAAAGUGUACUCAAAAACAUAAAAUAAAUAAAUCUUUAAAAUGAUGUUGAUAUAUUAGUAGUGGAAGUCUUUUAAUGACAUUAUUAUUAUUAUUACUUAUUACUGCUGUAGGUUGGAGAUGACUCAGUGCUUAAGAGCACUUGCUAUUCUUCCUGAGAUCCUGAGUUCAAUUCCUAGUUACCCAUGUUGGGUGGCUCACAAUUGCCUGUAACCGCAUGCCCUUUUGUGACUAUGGCAGCUGUACAUACACACAAGUACACACACGCACGCACACACACACAAGAAAACUAUAUAUAUUUAAAAUAACUAUAUUACAGUUGUUAACAGUAGCAGUAUUUGUGGGUGGGGAGUGAUACUAAUGCCACGUGUACAUUUAGAGGUCAGGGCAACCCUGUGGGUUGGUUCUCUCCUCCCACUGUAACAUGAGUUCCAGAGCUAGCUCACUUCACCAGGCUUGCUGUACAGAGUAUGCCCCACACUGCACACCUGUGAUUCCAGUCUGUAGCCCCAUGGCUCAGGCUGCUGAGGCAGUAUGAUUACGAUUUCUUGGCUAGGCUGAGACUGCCUUAAGUAACAACAAAAAAUAAAUCUUUUCAGUGGCAAACAGGAACUACGGCAGCUUGUCUCAUUGUCACUGUUGUUGCUUAUAGGGUUUUGGCUGGGGAUCCCUCCUAGGCCUUACAUAGGAUAGGCUCACACAUUACCUCGCCGGCCAUCACAGGCUUUUGUUGUUGUUGAUGGUAUUUUUCUUUUUCUUUUUCUUUCUUUUUUUUUUAAAUAAACAACAUUUCUUUUUUAUUAGAUAUUUUCUUUAUAUACAUUUCAAAUGCUAUCCCAAAGGUUCCCUAUACCCUCCCUCCGCCCUGCUCCCCUACCCACCCACUCCCACUUCUUGGCCCUGACAUUCCCCUGUACUGGGGCAUAUAAAGUUUGCAAGACCAAGGGCCCUCUCUUCCCAGUAAUGGCCGACUAGGCCAUCUUCUGCUACAUAUGCAGCUAGAGACACAAGCUCUGGGGGUACUGGUUAGUUCAUAUAGUUGUUCUACCUAUAGGGUUGCAGACCCCUUCAGCUCCUUGGGUGCUUUCUCUGGCUUCUCCAUUGGGGGCCCUGUGUUCCAUCUUACAGAUGACUGUGAGCAUCCACUUCUGUGUUUUUCUUUUGUUUUGAGAUGGUGCCUGACUCUAGCUCUGGCUGUCUAGGAACUCUAGUCAUCCUUUAAAUAGAAGAGUGAGGGGUGGAGUUUUUCUCUGCUAGAGGCCUUGUUUUGGGUUUUUUUUGAGAUAGGUAACGUAGAGUUUCUGGUUCUUCAAUCACAAGCCUUCUGAAAGCUGGUUUCUGGUAUGAGCACCAGCGCUGACCAGGUGAUCUUAGCAGAUUCACUUACUGUCUUGUAACUGGGUUAAUAGUCACUUUUCCCAGUUGUUUCCUGUAAAUGUAAUUUUUAUUCUCCUGUAGUAGUUACUGUCGCUGAGGCUUACCGCCCUCUGCUGACCUAGGCCUGGUCCUGGAAGCUUUCAGCCUCAGAGACUUACUGCUGGGUAAGCUCGCCCUCAGCCUCAGAGACUUACUGCUGGGUAAGCUCGCCCUCAGCCUCAGAGACUUACUGCUGGGUAAGCUCGCCCUUUAUAGUUCUUUCUGAGCUCUGCCUGGCAGGUUCUGCGUGGCCUCAUACUAACUUUGGCAGUCAGUUCUAGUCUUCAGGCUUCUUCUCAUUCUCUGGCUCGCUCUGUCUUUCCUGUGUCUGCCUUGUUCUCUCUGCAACCUGUCUCUCUAUAACUAGACAAGUCAAAUUACCUCCCUCUUGUGAGAGUUGGGCAUACCCUAUUCUGCCAAAUUUUUCUCUAAUUCGUCAUGUUGUUACUUAGUUAGGCAUCACUUUCAAACACAGGAGCUUUCUUCUACAAACUAACUUUACCUUUAUUGUUAGAUUAAAGGUAUGUGUUAAGGGCCCUUAACACCAGGGCAAGAUGAGUUUGGGUAAUGCCACUUAGCACCAAGUCUGAAACCUGAGUUCCAUCCUUGGCCACACUUGGCGGCAGGAGAGAACCAGCCCCUGCACUUGCCCCAUGUUGUCUUCUGACUUCACACGCACCAUAUGGCAUGCAUGUUCCCCUCCCUUCCCCUCCACGCCACAUGUAAGUCAAAU
rnacentral:lncRNA from 1 species